rnacentral:rRNA from 1 species
GAUGAACGCUGGCGGCGUGCCUAAUACAUGCAAGUCGAGCGAACGGACGAGAAGCUUGCUUCUCUGAUGUUAGCGGCGGACGGGUGAGUAACAUGUGGAUAACCUACCUAUAAGACUGGGAUAACUUCGGGAAACCGGAGCUAAUACCGGAUAAUAUUUUGAACCGUAUGGUUCAAAAGUAAAAUACGGUCUUGCUGUCACUUAUAGAUGGAUCCGCGCUGCAUUAGCUAGUUGGUAAGGUAACGGCUUACCAAGGCAACGAUGCAUAGCCGACCUGAGAGGGUGAUCGGCCACACUGGAACUGAGACACGGUCCAGACUCCUACGGGAGGCAGCAGUAGGGAAUCUUCCGCAAUGGGCGAAAGCCUGACGGAGCAACGCCGCGUGAGUGAUGAAGGUCUUCGGAUCGUAAAACUCUGUUAUUAGGGAAAAACAUAUGUGUAAGGAACUGUGCACAUCUUGACGGUACCUAAUCAGAAAGCCACGGCUAACUACGUG